rnacentral:rRNA from 1 species
AUUGAACGCUGGCGGCAGGCUUAACACAUGCAAGUCGAGCGGUAGCACAGGGGAGCUUGCUCCCUGGGUGACGAGCGGCGGACGGGUGAGUAAUGUCUGGGAAACUGCCUGAUGGAGGGGGAUAACUACUGGAAACGGUAGCUAAUACCGCAUAACGUCGCAAGACCAAAGAGGGGGACCUUCGGGCCUCUUGCCAUCAGAUGUGCCCAGAUGGGAUUAGCUAGGAGGUGGGGUAAUGGCUCACCUAGGCGACGAUCCCUAGCUGGUCUGAGAGGAUGACCAGCCACACUGGAACUGAGACACGGUCCAGACUCCUACGGGAGGCAGCAGUGGGGAAUAUUGCACAAUGGGCGCAAGCCUGAUGCAGCCAUGCCGCGUGUGUGAAGAAGGCCUUCGGGUUGUAAAGCACUUUCAGCGAGGAGGAAGGUGGUGAGCUUAAUACGUUCAUCAAUUGACGUUACUCGCAGAAGAAGCACCGGCUAACUCCGUG